rnacentral:rRNA from 1 species
GAUGAACGCUGGCGGCGUGCCUAAUACAUGCAAGUCGAGCGAACAGAUGAGGAGCUUGCUCCUCUGACGUUAGCGGCGGACGGGUGAGUAACACGUGGAUAACCUACCUAUAAGACUGGGAUAACUUCGGGAAACCGGAGCUAAUACCGGAUAAUAUAUUGAACCGCAUGGUUCAAUAGUGAAAGACGGUUUUGCUGUCACUUAUAGAUGGAUCCGCGCCGCAUUAGCUAGUUGGUAAGGUAACGGCUUACCAAGGCAACGAUGCGUAGCCGACCUGAGAGGGUGAUCGGCCACACUGGAACGGAGACACGGUCCAGAGUCCUACGGGAGGCAGCAGUAGGGAAUCUUCCGCAAUGGGCGAAAGCCUGACGGAGCAACGCCGCGUGAGUGAUGAAGGUCUUCGGAUCGUAAAACUCUGUUAUUAGGGAAGAACAAAUGUGUAAGUAACUGUGCACAUCUUGACGGUACCUAAUCAGAAAGCCACGGCUAACUACGUG